GCUUGGGAAUCUGCCCAGUAGUGGGGGACAACUUCCGGAAACGGAGCUAAUACCGCAUACGUCCUACGGGAGAAAGUGGGGGAUCUUCGGACCUCACGCUAUUGGAUGAGCCCAAGUCGGAUUAGCUUGUUGGUGGGGUAACGGCCCACCAAGGCGACGAUCCGUAGCUGGUCUGAGAGGACGAUCAGCCACACUGGGACUGAGACACGGCCCAGACUCCUACGGGAGGCAGCAGUGGGGAAUAUUGGACAAUGGGCGCAAGUGAUCCAGCAAUGCCGCGUGUGUGAAGAAGGCCUGCGGGUUGUAAAGCACUUUCAGUAGGGAAGAAAUGCCUGGGGUUAAUAACUCCGGGUCUUGACGUCACCUACAGAAGAAGCACCGGCUAACUCCGUGCCAGCAGCCGCGGUAAUACGGAGGGUGCGAGCGUUAAUCGGAAUUACUGGGCGUAAAGCGCGCGUAGCGGCUUGGUCAGUCGGAUGUGAAAGCCCCGGGCUUAACCUGGGAAUUGCACUCGAUACUGCCGAGCUAGAGUAUGGGAGAGGGAAGUGGAAUUUCCGGUGUAGCGGUGAAAUGCGUAGAUAUCGGAAGGAACACCAGUGGCGAAGGGACUUCCUGGCCCAAAACUGACGCUGAGGUGCGAAAGGUGGGUAGCGAGCAGGAUUAGAUACCCUGGUAGUCCACGCCGUAAACGAUGAGAACUAGAUGUCGGGAGGAUUUUCCUCUCGGUGUCGCAGCUAACGCGUUAAGUUCUCCGCCUGG
rnacentral:rRNA from 1 species